GACCGCGACCCCAGGUCAGGCGGGACUACCCGCUGAGUG
rnacentral:rRNA from 1 species